rnacentral:rRNA from 1 species
AUUGCUAAACGUUCAAGACUGCUCAUUGGAGUGAUGUGGUCGGACAUUCACCCUACCAUCCAUUGACUCAUUGUUGCAGAUAUCAUAGACAGGUGGGACCUGGAAGACACACCAGAAACAUAAGAAAAAGUUCUCAAAAUUACGAAAGAGCGAUAUAAAGGCUGGCGAUCAACUCUAACCUUGACUUACAAGACAUACAAAACAUAUGCAGCUAGAUUGGCUAAUCCGCAAGAAGAUUUACAACCAGAAUAGUGGGAAUGGAUGAUUGAGUACUUUGGCACUGAUUCAAAAUUUAAGGAACACAGCCAAAAACACACCGAUAAUCGUAAGAAACAGAAGACAAAACACAUAAUUGGAUCAAAAUCUUACUCACAACUAAGUUUUGAGAAGAGAAACAUGAAAACUGGAGAAGAGCCAGAUUGUAUUGCUCUGUGGGAACUCACCCACACGAAGAAUGGAACAUGGUCUAACAUAGAGUCCCAAGAUGUUUAUGACAAAGCACAUCAAGAAGUUGAAACCAUAGAAACUGAAACUCAUGGCCCACUUUCAAGUGAGCAGAGAAACAAUAUUUUCCAGACUGCAUACAAACACACUCUGCAAUGCAAGUCAUCGUAGCCUCGUGGGUAUGGAUACAUGGACAAACCUUCAACUUGUUCUGAAAGGUUUCGGGUCCAGAUUGAAGAGCAAGCUUGUCCUAUAGCAGCAACCCAGCAGCAAAACUCUGAGCUCAGCCAGGUCAACGAAUUACAAGAUCAACUACAAGCUGAAAGUGCAAACACACAAGAGAGGAUUAACUUGGAGCAUUCUGAGAGAGAACAACUUCAUAAGAGGUUAAAAGAAGAGUGUGCUAAAAGAGAAAGAUUGUUGGAGGAGGAGCGAACAUCAAGACUGGAAUUUCAAAAAAAAAUGAUGCCAAAGUUUGCAAAAUUGAGCCAACAUAUGGGAACCCAAUAGGUGCCUAUGAAGAGGAUUGACAAAGAAAAUAGUAGUCCAAACUUGCAAAAUACUCUUUUACAGAGAUCUAGUCCUAGUAAGACUCAAUGUGCAAGGCUAACUGUUAUUUCUUCAAAUGCGCUCAUACAAGCUACAACAAGGAAUUCUCGAAUGUUUAAAGCAAUGGUAAGUCACAACCUUGCUUUCUCUUCAUGUUCACCUGCAUUUUAUACGUCAUUGACCUUCAUAAUUAGCUAG